CUCUUUUUCGAUGUAUAGUAUAUUUAUUCAUCAGGAAGCAUGAUCCACGCCCAUCCCACUUCGAGAUUCGUGCACAGUGUUAUGAUCCGCUCGAUUUACCAUUUAAUGACAUAUGGUCUUCUCUAUCCACCUUUGGGUUCGGAACGAUUAGAAGCGCCGUGGGCGAUCUUGGAGCGGUGGCCGUGGAGAUGGAGCUCCGGCUGGUUUGUAGCUCGAGGACGACCGCGGAAGCCGCGCCCGCUCAAUUAUCGGGCCGGCGAUGGGGCUUUUCUUACAAGAGAAGGAUGCUUUAGCAUGUUCAUGGGAACAGUCAAUCUGGCAUCAACUACAAUGCAUCUUCUUCAUUUCUUAUAUACUUUAAUGAAGCUCACAAUGCCUCCUCAAACACAAUCUUCAAAGUUCCAUUUUCCAGCAUUCAUAUGAUGGUAGAAGCCAGGCAUUCCAUGCAUUCACCAGGGCUGAUCUGGAUGGUUCAGGAACUGCAUAUGAUCUCACUGACAAGUGAUGGAAAUUGACCAAAGCAAAGGUCACAACUCAUAACCUAUUUCGCAUAAACUAUCAAAGCAUUGUAUCUUUACUCUCAGACAUCAAAAUAAGGGGGGCAAAAGUUCUAUAUUUUCUGGCUACCCAUUGCGACUCUCUCACCAAGAAUCAUUUCCCAAGUCCUGAUCAGUCCCAAGAUCCUUCAAUUAAUCACCUGUUGGGGGAAAUUUGCAGUGAAAAUUCAAAGAACCCCUACCCAAU